rnacentral:rRNA from 1 species
UACGGGGGGUGCAAGCGUUGUUCGGAAUUAUUGGGCGUAAAGAGCGUGUAGGCGGCGGAAUAAGUCAGAUGUGAAAGCCCUGGGCUUAACCCAGGAAGUGCAUUUGAUACUGUUUUGCUUGAGUACUGGAGAGGGAAGAGGAAUUCCUGGUGUAGAGGUGAAAUACGUAGAGAUUGGGAAGAACACCAGUGGCGAAGGCGGAGACCUGGGCUGAUACUGACGCUGAGGUGCGAAAGCGUGGGGAGCAAACAGGAUUAGAAACCCC